UCAGUAGGGAACACCUGGAGCAGGGAAACAGGGAUCCUACUGCAAUCACUGGCUUGGCGGGGAACGCAGGAAACGGACCGGCCGGGAAUCCGCGCCCUGGCUGGGAGCGCAGGGCCUUUUGCGGAUUCUGGUCCAGUGGGGAACACGGUCCGACUGGAACUCGGGUCCCACAGGACUAAACUGGCCGAGCAGGAAGCAUCAGUCAGGGGCUGCAUCGCGGAGCAGAUGGCCUCGUCCACCGUGGAGAGUUUCGUGGCCCAGCAGCUACAGCUGCUGGAGCUGGAGCGGGACGCCGAGGUGGAGGAGCGCAGGUCCUGGCAGGAACACAGUUCUCUGAGAGAGCUUCAGAGCCGAGGGGUGUGCUUGCUGAAGCUUCAGGUAUCCAGCCAGCGCACAGGGCUGUAUGGGCAGCGGCUGGUCACCUUUGAGCCCAGGAAGUUUGGACCUGCAGUGGUGCUUCCUAGCAACAGCUUCACCUCUGGUGAUAUUGUGGGUCUGUAUGAUACUAAUGAAAACAGUCAACUGGCCACUGGGGUCCUGACCCGAAUCACCCAAAAAUCAGUCACAGUGGCUUUUGAUGAGUCCCAUGAUCUCCAGCUGAACCUGGACAGAGAGAAUACCUACAGACUGCUGAAGCUUGCCAACGAUGUCACCUACAAACGCCUGAAAAAAGCACUGAUGACACUGAAGAAGUACCACUCUGGGCCAGCAUCCUCCCUCAUAGACAUCCUGUUGGGCAGCUCCACCCCAAGUCCUGCCAUGGAAAUACCCCCACUCUCUUUCUACAACACAACUCUGGACCUUUCCCAGAAAGAAGCUGUGUCCUUUGCACUGGCCCAGAAAGAACUUGCCAUCAUCCAUGGGCCUCCUGGCACUGGGAAAACCACAACUGUGGUGGAAAUAAUCCUUCAAGCUGUGAAGCAAGGCUUAAAGGUCCUGUGCUGUGCUCCCUCCAACAUCGCUGUGGACAACCUGGUGGAGCGUCUGGCUCUGUGCAAGAAGCGGAUUCUGCGCCUGGGUCACCCCGCCCGCCUCCUGGAGUCCGUUCAGCACCACUCACUGGAUGCAGUGCUAGCACGCAGUGACAACGCCCAGAUUGUUGCUGACAUCAGAAGGGACAUAGACCAGGUCUUUGGCAAGAACAAAAAGACGCAGGAUAAGAGAGAGAAAGGUAAUUUUCGAAGUGAAAUUAAGCUGCUAAGGAAGGAACUGAAGGAGAGGGAAGAAGCAGCCAUAGUUCAGAGCCUCACUGCGGCAGAUGUGGUUCUAGCCACCAACACAGGUGCAUCGUCUGAUGGCCCUCUGAAGCUGCUGCCUGAGGACUACUUUGAUGUGGUGGUGGUGGACGAAUGUGCCCAGGCCCUAGAAGCCAGCUGCUGGAUCCCCCUGCUGAAGGCCCCAAAGUGCAUCCUAGCUGGGGACCACAGACAGCUGCCACCCACCACCGUCUCUCACAGGGCGGCACUGGCUGGGCUGUCCCGCAGCCUGAUGGAGCGUCUGGCAGAGAAGCAUGGUGCUGGUGUGGUGAGGAUGCUGACGGUACAGUACCGAAUGCACCAGGCCAUCAUGUGCUGGGCCUCGGAGGCCAUGUACCACGGGCAGCUUACUUCCCAUCCCUCUGUGGCAGGACACCUCCUGAAGGACCUCCCAGGCGUGACUGACACAGAGGAGACACGUGUCCCGCUGCUGCUCAUAGACACCGCUGGCUGUGGGCUUCUGGAGCUGGAGGAGGAGGACAGCCAGUCCAAGGGAAAUCCGGGCGAAGUUCGCCUCGUCACUUUGCACAUCCAGGCUCUGGUGGAUGCUGGGGUCCAGGCAGGUGACAUUGCCGUCAUCGCACCCUACAACCUUCAGGUGGAUCUGCUCAGACAGAGCCUCUCCAACAAGCACCCUGAGCUGGAGAUUAAGUCUGUUGAUGGCUUUCAAGGCCGAGAGAAAGAGGCUGUGCUCCUGACCUUUGUCAGGUCCAAUAGGAAAGGUGAAGUUGGUUUUCUGGCUGAGGACAGGCGGAUUAAUGUUGCUGUUACCCGUGCUCGGCGGCACGUGGCAGUCAUCUGUGAUUCCCACACUGUCAACAACCAUGCUUUUUUGAAGACCUUGGUGGAUUAUUUCACAGAGCAUGGGGAGGUACGCACAGCCUUUGAAUACCUGGAUGACAUCGUCCCUGAGAACUACACCCAUGAGGGUUCCCAGGGCCACAGCCGUGUCCCCAAACCCAAGUGCCCCAGCACCUCCAUCAGGAAGCCUGCCAGUGAUCAGGAGAGUGGCCAGGAGACCAGAGCAGCCCCUAGACAUGGCCGCAGGAAGCCAAGCGAGAAGCCCCCGGGCUCUCACGUCCAGUCCCAGCACAGCUCCAGUGCAAAUGGCUCUGACAGAACUGGAGGCCCAGACCGGACAGAGCACUUUAGGGCUACGAUUGAGGAGUUUGUGGCUAGCAAGGAGUCCCAGUUGGAGUUUCCCACAUCCCUGAGUUCCCAUGACAGGCUGCGAGUCCACCAGUUAGCUGAGGAGUUCGGGCUGAGGCACGACAGCACCGGGGAGGGGAAGGCUCGGCACAUCACAGUGAGCAGGAGGAGCCCUGCCAGCUCUGGCAGUGUAGCCCCACAGCCUUCCUCACCGCCCAGCCCUGCACAGGCUGAGCCUGAGCCUCGGGCAGAGGAGCCCGUCACCGUCGUGCAGGCACAUUGCCCUGUACAGCUGGAUCUGAAGGCACUGCAUCUGGAGAGGCUGCAGCGGCAGCAAAGCUCCCAGGCUCAGACAGCCAAGGGUCAGCCAGGUGGGGACUCGAGGCCACAGAAGGCUUCACAGAAGAAAAAGAAAAAAGAACCAAAAGGUAAAGCCACAUCUCUCAGGCACAUCUCUAGUGCUGUCUGGUUCCUGUCCCCUGCCACCUGCCACCUGGUUACAGGCAGGUCGUCUGCUUGUCCCCAGAGCCCUGCAGGGGCAGGCAGAGAGAAGGCCUGGCACAUUUACUAGUACUUUUCCUGUGGGGAAGGGAGGCAGUUUGUUGGGGUUCAGAGCAUCAGUACAGGCACAGGCGCUCAGGGUUGUAGGCCUGUUCAGCACACCAUUCUGCCCUGUGCCAGGGCCAAGGGGACUGCAUGCUCUGCGUUCAGCCUCGCGGUGCUUGUAUCCCCUGGGUGACCCCCACCCCUGAGUUGGCACACAUGUUCGAACAUAAUAAGGGCAGACCUGCUGGGGCAUAGUAUGGGUGCUCUCAACACUUCAGUAGGCCUUGCUAGCAGGAGCACAGGUCAGCUCCUUUUGGGGUAGGGACAUCUCAUUCCCAUGAGCCAGCCCUUAGAGCCAUAUUCUCAGCUCCAGAGUCAGCUCUCUGGGGUGGUGCCACUCCAGGCAUGCCAUGGCGCUCGUGGGACGGUUCCUGUAGCCAGGCUGUGUGUGUGCUGGAGAGCAAGCUGACACAGUGCCCUCCUGCCAGGCACUGAAAGGAGGACCUCUGAAUGGGGGUGACCCCUGCCUCAGAUGGAGAAGUACUGCAUUUGUGCCUUGGGGAGCCUGGACCUACCCAUAUCUGCUGUUCCUGCCACAAAGCCUAGGUGGUCUGGGAGCCCCACCUAUUCCUGGGGUUCUGGGAUCACCUCAGGCUACCAUCUUUCAGAGUCCCCAGGACCUCACCUGUUUUGCAAAGAUUCAGGCUCUGUCAGUGCCCUGCCUAGCAGCUGAGCGGUCAGGUGGCCAUACCUGUGACAGGCUCUGCUUGGCCGGUGCUCUUCAGGGCCCUGGCCAUGGGUUGAUGGCUGGCAGGAGUGAUCAGCUGAAUGCAGGAGGGUUGGCUAGGCACUGUCACGGUCCAUCCGCUCUGACUACCCUGCCUGGUCCUUAUUUCCUGAGCAUGCUCACUGAGGGUGCUGCCAGAAUGGUGUGCACGUUCCCCAAGGCCCUCUGAGCCACUUGGUUCUACUUAGGAUGUGCAGGAGCCAGUGACUGGGUGGCUUCAGUUUCCCCUUUACACAGCUGUGGGGGGAGGGGAGAGGUGGGAGAGAUAGAUUAGUGGACACAGGGAAUGGGAAUGGGGGUUGGGGGGAAAGAGUGCUAGCACGUGAAGGAGAGAGAUCACGGGAUACAGAGAGCCAGUAGAAACAGCUGUCAUAGAUGCACAUGGGUGCAGUGGCUUCUGGGAGACCUUGAUGUAAUAUCAGGUCAGUCAGUGACCACCUGACCCCAGCGAAUUUGGAUACUGCAGCACCUGCCAGUAUGUAGGGAGGUAUUUGGAGCCAUUGGGCAGACUGGGGCCCACCUAUAUGGGUGCCUGAGUGGUUCCUUUCAGUACUCUGUGUCCCCUGUGUUUGCACACAUGCUUUUUGGAACUGCAGUGUGUGUUGCUGCUUCUCUGUACUCCUGAGCAUUCUCUGAGCAGAAACGAGGUUUCUGAAAUGCUGACACUCUCUCCAUCCAUCACUGUUAAAACAUUUGCACAUUUAUUUACUGUGUGUGUGUGUGUGUGUGUGUGUGUGUGUGUGUGUGUGGCUGCACGUGCCACAGCACACAUGGUGCGAGUCACUUUUCUAAUUGUAUAAAUUGGCCUCGGGCUUGGAGGCCAGUGCUCUUCCCCAGUGAGCCAAUCCCCUGCCUUCAUCUGAGAAAGUUUUCCCUGACUCUGAGCAUGGAGAUAUAUGGUAAUGCAAGUCAAACAUGUACUAAUAAGUCGUAAAAGUUUGUUUUAGAAGUUCCUUGACAGACGUAAAAUUUUACUAUUUAUGAAAAAUGAAAAUAAAUUUUCAUCCAGUUGGAGAGACACUUGUCUAACAGGACACAGUUCACAGAUAUAUGAAGUGAUAAAUCCUGAAAUGUGCUGGGUGGCCAGUGUCCCAUUGUCUGGUGUCUGUGAGGGCAGAGACACAAGAGCUGAAACACGCAGCUUGUGACGCGGUGGCUGGGGUCUCAGCAGAGGCUGCAGCUUGAGGAGUGACAUUGAGGCAGUGCUGAGCAUGUGUGUUGUGUGUUCUGCUCAGAGGCUUCUGCAUGGGUGCCAUGCCGCACACAUUUGAUUAUGACUAGAGUUUUUGCUUAUUGUAUGUGUUGGAGCCUUUCAUGGUUGCUGAGUUUUUCAUGAUCCCGUCCUGAUCCCUGAACACCCACAGCCUAAGUAACACUAUCCAGCACUUCCUGCCCCUGGGUGAAGCCUAAGGGGCUUCUGCAAGGGCCCGAGUCGGGCAGCUUCUGUCCCCAGUGGUGCUGCUAUCUGGCCUGAGUUUUGUUUUUGCAGUUGGUGUCAAAGGGAGCUCCCCCCUCCCCCGCCAAAUGUUUUUCUGGAUGACAGAGUAUGCUUUCAGAGGUCCAGUUAUGGCUCUGCCCUGUGAGGAGGACUUCGACGCCCUGGUGUCUGCUGUGGUGAAGGCUGACAACACCUGUAGCUUCUCCAAGUGCUCGGCCAGCACCACCACUCUGGGCCAGUUCUGCAUGCACUGUAGCCACCGCUACUGCCUCAGCCACCAUCUGCCUGAAAUCCACGGCUGUGGAGAAAAGGCUCGUGCCCAUGCCCGCCAGAGGAUUAGCCGGGAAGGAGUGCUGUAUGCAGGCAGUGGGACCAAGGACAGGGCCCUGGACCCGGCCAAGAGGGCCCAGCUGCAGAGGAGGCUGGACAAGAAGCUGGGCGAGCUCAGCAGCCAGAGGACAAGCAGGAAGAAGGAGAAGGAGAGGGGGACAUGAAGCCACACCCUCAGGGAGGGCUGUGUGGGACAGAGGCAGCAGGUGGGGACACGGUCCUACACUGGCCAUUUCUCUGCUUGAGCUAGUGUGCCCCUAGUCCUCCCAUGGCAAGGGUGCUGUUUGUGAGGAGAUGCGCCUAGUUACCAUCAGAGUAACUGCCUUGCCUGGCCAGGCCCCAUUGAUGCUUUGAGUGCCUUGCAUGGCCAGCUAGCCAUGGCCACCGUCAUCCUGUCUUCUGCAGUGACACAGUGGGCAUGGAUUGUGUGGUCUAGGGAUGCGGGAAUGGCUGUACGGGCUCCUAGUCUGUAAUGGCCUGGCCUCUGCUGCUUGGUGACUGGUGGGAAGUAGUCCUUCCAGGGCCCCAUACACUGCUCACCCUCAGAGACUGCACCCUCGCCAGCACUCUGUACCUGUUGCUCAUGGGAACUUUGACAGAUGCAAUUUAGCCUCAGGCUCUUGUUCCAAAAUAAUAUAAAUUAUUUGCAAAUUAAAGUGUACACACAGUGGAUA